GACGAACGCUGGCGGCGUGCCUAAUACAUGCAAGUAGAACGCACAGUUUAUACCGUAGCUUGCUACACCAUAGACUGUGAGUUGCGAACGGGUGAGUAACGCGUAGGUAACCUGCCUGGUAGCGGGGGAUAACUAUUGGAAACGAUAGCUAAUACCGCAUAAUAUUAAUUAUUGCAUGAUAAUUGAUUGAAAGGUGCAAAUGCAUCACUACCAGAUGGACCUGCGUUGUAUUAGCUAGUAGGUGAGGUAACGGCUCACCUAGGCGACGAUACAUAGCCGACCUGAGAGGGUGAUCGGCCACACUGGGACUGAGACACGGCCCAGACUCCUACGGGAGGCAGCAGUAGGGAAUCUUCGGCAAUGGACGAAAGUCUGACCGAGCAACGCCGCGUGAGUGAAGAAGGUUUUCGGAUCGUAAAGCUCUGUUGUAAGAGAAGAACGGGUGUGAGAGUGGAAAGUUCACACUGUGACGGUAUCUUACCAGAAAGGGACGGCUAACUACGUGCCAGCAGCCGCGGUAAUACGUAGGUCCCGAGCGUUGUCCGGAUUUAUUGGGCGUAAAGCGAGCGCAUGCGGUUAGAUAAAUUCUGAAGUUAAAGGCUGUGGCUUAACCAUAGUACGCUUUUGAAACUGUUUAACUUGAGUGCACAAGCCAUAUUGGAAUCCCAUGUGCACUGGUC
rnacentral:rRNA from 1 species